GGCCCUGCCCCAGGCGGCUGCGGGGCGCUCCCAGGCCGGGACCGCCGCGAGCCCCGCCCAGCGCGCGCGGCCUCCGAGCGGCCAGGUGGGCCCGCCGUGACAGGCGGCAGGGGGCGGGGCUACAAACUGGCACCUGAAGGGGGAGGAGCCAAUGGAAGGAGGAGGGCCAUUGAGAGGAUGAAUACCGUGACACUGUGAGUGCCUGUGGUGUGGGGCCAUGGAAGUAACCAGACAGAAACCGAGAGUCUGAUUCUCCGCUCGCACUGACACUGGUGCACUCCGUUGGCUUCAGUGGAGUGACUCCUGAUUUACAGUGAUGUGAAUGAGGCUGCUGUCAGACACACUGGUGUCAGAUCGGUGGUGGGCCCACUUCCUUUGUGACAAGUGGGGGAACUGUCAAGGUUAUAAGGCGAACCCACAUGGGGGACCCAACACCUAGGGUGCCGUGGAAAGAGACCUUCCAACUGACCUGAACACGGCUCGCUUUCCUGCCUCCACUCAGGAUGUGCACUUUGAAUGAGGAAUGUGCAUUCUAGCUACACACAAGAAGGAGCUCUGAGUGAGCAGCCAUCACCUCAGGAGCACUGCCCUGGAGUAUUGUUGGACAUAGUCUCACAUCGAUAGCUAAUGCAUGAAGCCAGUCACACCUGGGGAAGCUGCUACUAGGAGACACCCAUUUGAGGGCUGGAUCAGAUCUCUCCAGACUGCACUCCGGAGUGGUAAUGUUUUCUGCUCAGAAAAGCACUGCUGAGUCGUCCCUGGGCAAUGGGAGCAGACAGCAGUAAUCUAUAAGCAACAUGAAUGAUAUGCUGAUUACUCAGUGAAAAGGCCUCCUUUCAAAAGGCUUCUCAUUAGUGUCAAAGGAACAAAAUGAUGUGAAAUAGAAACAGUUUUGCCCUGCAAUCAGAUCACCGAGGUUUUAUCAAGACUUAGCAACAAGGCCACAUCAAGCCAGCGAUUUCAGAUGAGAGAGAGCUCCUGUCAUAAUUUUUCAUUCAUUCCAAUGACUUUGUUUCAAAUAUUUGGCUGGAUAGGAAUAAGUAAUACAAGAAGACUGAUAAUUCCAUGCAGCAGCAAGACAGCAGCUGGGUCUACCAUGGGUUGGGCUGAUUUGGAGAGGACAGGCUGGCUAGCCAGGGUACAGCUGACCUUGUGUCUGCCAACCAGAAACCAAACUGCUUUCCUCAUCACACCAUUUAAAAAAAAAUCCAUCUUUAUGAAUAAGCUGGUUUCUGAUUAACCUUUUUUCACCAUCCCCAACUUUCAUCAGCAAAUGAGCAACAGAUGGUCAGUAACGUGGGAAUAUAAGAUUUGCUGGACCAGAUUGAACACUGGCCCAUCCAGUACAUACCCUCCCGUGAACCCCAUAGUACAUCAGGUCAGCUGUGCAAUGUGCAUCAUAGGCAAAAUAAGCCUGUGUGUGCCUUCUAUCUAGGGGUCUCCAAAUUCUUUAUAGAGGUGGGUAAGAAUUACUAUCCCCAUUUAUGCUCUAAUUUGUUAGUCUCUAAAAUGCCACAAGUACUCCUUUUCUUUUUGCGAAUACAGACUAACACGGCUGCUACUCUGAAACCUAUCCCCAUUUUACAGAUGGAGAAGCAGAAUCACAGACCUGCCUAGGGUCACACAGUGAAUUAGUGUCAGAGCCAGGUCUCCUAACUCCCAGUCCCCUGCUCUGAUCAUUAAAUUAUACUUCUUUUCACAUGUAUAGUGCUAAGUGUUAUUAGUGCUGAUAAAACUACCCAGCCACUUCCUAAUCCCUGCCCCAUCAGCUGACAUAGUCUCCUUUUGGUACAGCAAUCUUGGAACAACCACUGUGGUCUCCAUGCAGCACCUUAGCAAGCAGCAUGCCAUUCAUUUGCAGCUUCCUAGCACAGUCCUAGGGUCUCAGUGAAGCACACACCUCCCUUUGUGUAUUGAAAUGUUGGCCCUGGGCUUUGAUACCAAAGGUAAAAAAGAAACCAAACUCUCAGCUUGAAGUUAGGGGAAGGAGAGUGGCUGCCCUUUGUGGGUUGGCCAGACCCAGUUUGGGUACUAAGGGGUAACCCCUCAGCUAGAAAAAUUUAUUGCUACCUCGUUAGGCCCCUACCUGAUGGGCAUUGUGAUGCGGGCAGACCAGGUGCCAGCUCUUGCCAUGGCUUUAAGCUUCUGCCGAAUGCUGAUAAAUUUGUUGCUGGACCCCAGUCCAGCUCACCGGUGUGUUAGUAUGGUUAAGCUUGAACUUGUGAUAAUGUGUUUAGUGUUUAGACUUUAUGAAAUAAUUGUAAAUUGCUACAUGUAUUAAUCCCACUUAUCACAUCUAUAUCCCACUCUGUACUGUAAUACUUAUGUGUUUGUGCUAUGGCUGUAAAAUGUUUAUUCUGAACUAAGUCACUCAUAAAUAAGAAAAAACUUUAACUAGUGCAAAGUGAUAAAUCCCUGAGAAAGGUACUACUUCUUGCCCAUCACAGUAUUGUCAACUCUCACGAUUUUGUCAUGAGUCUCAUUAUAAUUAUUGUUUUCCUUAAAGCCUCAGCUCCUGGACUCAAAUGGAUACGUGAUGAUUUUAACCUUCUUUCUUAAAGAAAAAAAUAAGUUUCUAGCCCUUGUGGCUGUGGAGGAAGCUUCAAAAUAUGACCCCAGUGCACCCUAAAGGCUCAAAAAUCAGAAGGCAAAGAAAAAGAACACCAAAUCUAUUACUUCUACAUAAUCUCAUGAUUUUAAAGCCAAUCUCAUGAUUUCCAGUGAAUCUGACUCAUGAUUUUUGACCAUUUGGGGUUGACAAUACAGUACUGCCGUCAGGAAGGGUUAUCAAAAUGAAAUUGGCCAUUGUGGGGCAUCACAAUAAAAAGACUUUGCUAAUUGUCAUUGCACACUCAUGAAGCAGCCAUGUGCAAAAGGGCUCAUUCCAUCAGCUUGAAUUCUGGAAGAAGGAAAUAAAAAUAGCUGACAAGACAUUUUUUCAUCUCCUUGACUUUUUGGACUCUCCCAGGGCUGGAGCUAGGAAACAGAAGCAGCAAUCCCUAGGGUCAAUCCUAAAAGACGUUCAGUGCUGACAGAUUACUACAACUCUGUCAUCUUUUGGAACCAUAGACUGUAACUCAUAUAGGUAGAUAUGUUUAUAUGCUUUAACCUGUAUAUAACAAUCUCAUUUCUUUUUCCUAGUUAAUAAAUCCUUAGAUAGUUUACUACAGGACUGACUACAAGCGUUGUUUUUGGUGAGAGACCUAAGGUACAAAUUGACCUGGGGUAAGUGACUGUUCUCUUGGGGCUGGAAGCAGCCUGAAUGUUUUGUAAUUUUUGGUGUAGGGCAACCAACCAUCAUGAAGUGCAGCUUGCCUGGGGCACAAGAGAGACUGGCGUGGCCAAGGGGACUGUC